AUUAUCCAAAACUGUGUUGUUUAAAUAGAGAGAAAUGUAUGAAUACAAAGAAAAUUGCAGAGGCACACUGAUUUACAGAUUUACUGUCUUGAACGGAUAAGUGAAUGAUAGAACUAGCAGAAAAAAUAUAUGAAACAAUUUAAAGGAAUGGUGAAAUGAAUUGUCUUUUUGUAUUAAUAGAAGGAAAGGUAAAUAGCUAAAGUGUAUAACCAGAGCAGAGCUCCUCCAGAGAAUACAAUCUCAUAAUACAAAUGAUAGCAAUAAUCGUGUGUACCCUAACAAACACCACCCUCUCCCAUAUAUCUCCCACUACUAACAACCUUCCUAAGAAUCAAGGAUUUCCUUUGCCACAUCACUAACAGAAUUGUUCCCCACUUUCUUACCCCUGCGAACAUAGACUCUCCAUACAGCAGGAUUGGGUCUUUCAUUAGUAACAGGCCCAAUAGUAGUUGUUAUAUCAUUACCUUCCCCAGGAACAACAGCCUUGUCCUCAAGGCUGAGAGAAGGGAACUGACUUUUUAAAACUGACUCAUCCUCCCAAGUUGUGUCUUCUACAACUCUUCCCUUCCAACGCACCAACCAUUGUCGCACCCGCUGUCCAUUUUUCGUAAUUAGCCUUGAAGCCAACAAUUCUUCCGGUUCUUCUAAGUGUUCUGGCUCUAUCUCGAGCCCUUCCGAUAGUUGAGGUUCAGCAGCAUACUCCCCAAUAGCCUUCUUAAGUUGAGAUAUAUGAAACACCGCAUGUACUCGACUUCCUUCAGGAAGUUUCAACUUAUAUGACAUUGCUUCUAUUUUUUUCUGGAUAGGAAAAGGUCCAAAAUACUAUGGAGCAAGUUUCUGAUUAAUCCUUUGAGAGAUUGUUUGUUGCCUAUGGGGUCGGAGCUUCAAGAAUACCCAUCCACCCACCUCAAAUGAAUAAGCCUUUCUUUUCUUGUCCGCGUAUCUCUUCAUCUGCUCUUGAGCCCGAGUCAAAUGAUACUUCAAUUGACGUAGAGCCUCAUCCCGAUCAACCAACUCAGCUGCCACAGCCCGAGUCAAAUGAUACUUCAAUUGACGUAGAGCCUCAUCCCGAUCAACCAACUCAGCUGCCACUGCCUCUACCUUAGUUUCUCCCUGUAGAAAUCUCACCACAGUAGGUGGUUUUCUUCCAUACAUCGCUUCAAAUGGUGUCGUACCCAUAGACACAUGGAAUGUGGUAUUAUACCCCAAUUCGGCCCACAGAAUCCAUUGUGACCACUCCUUCGGUUGUUCUGAUGCAAAACAACGAAGAUAUGCUUCUAGGCACCGAUUUACAACCUCCGUUUGCCCAUCCAUCUCCGGGUGAUAUGAAGAACUCAUACUCAACAUAGUCCCCUACAAACGGAAUAACUCUUUCCAGAAUAAGCUAACAAAUAAGGGGUCACGAUCACUAACAAUAGAUUAUGGAACACCAUGGAGACACACCACCUCCUUGGUAAAAAUCUCAACCACUUUUCUUGUUGUAUAUGGAUGCUUUAAGGGAAUAAAAUGUCCAUACUUAGAUAGUAUAUCCACUACUACAAAAAUAGCCUCAUACCCCUGUGAUUUCAGAAGACUAGUUAUGAAAUCCAUUGAGAUGUCCUCCCAAACUCUCUCCGGAAUUGGCAGUGGCUGUAACAAACCCAUGGGUGACGACGCCGAAUACUUUUGACGUUGGCACACAUCACAACUUUGCACAAAUGUUUGAACUGACUUCCUCAUUCCUACGCAAUAGAGGUUACCAGCUAAUCUCCGAUAUGUACGCAAAAACCCCGAGUGACCCCCAGUACUGGAUGAAUGAAACUCCUGCAACAUUAAGGGUAUGCAUUUAGAUUUUGCAGAUAGCACCAUCCUACCAUGAUAGAAUAGUCUCCCUUUGACUAAUUGGAAACCCGGUUGAGAUGUAGGAUUCACAUGCAAAUUAGCCAUUACUUUCUUUAAAUAAGGAUUAUUCCUUACUUCAUGUUGGAUUUGUUGCUCCUGCAUACAUACUAGGAAUGACAUUAUUCCUUUUAGUUCCACUUCUUCAUGCAUUCUUGAAAGGGCAUCAACAGCUUUAUUUUCUGGCCCGGGUUUGUACACUACCUCAAAAUGAUAACCCAAUAGUUUGGCUAUCCAAUUAUGUUGAUCAGCAGUAGUGAUACGUUGCUGGAGCAAGUGUCAUAAACUUUUUUGAUCGGAAUACACUACAAACCUCCUUCCUAACAAAUAAGGACGCCAAUAUUGAACGGCCAACACCAAUGCCAUCAACUCCUUCUCAUACGUCGACUUACUCAAAUUAUUCUUAGAUAAGGCUUUGUUGAAGUAAGCUAUGGGUUUCUUUUUCUGCAUUAGUACCGCGCCUAUUCCUCUCCCGGAUGCAUCACACUCAAUCUCGAAGGGUUAUGCAAAAUUCGGAAGGGUUAAAACUGGAUCUUGAAUCAUAACCCUUUUUAGAUUCUCAAAUGCCUUCAACUCUUUUGGUCCCCAAUGAAACCCUUCCUUCUUGGUUAACUCCAUUAGCGGUUUAACUAUCUUACCAUAACCCACAAUGAAUUUCCGGUAAUACCCUGUCAGCCCCAAAAAACCCCUCACCCCUUUGACAUUAUGAGGAGCUGGGCAUUCCAAAAUGCUAUUAAUUUUUUCUGGGUCCACUGCCACCCCCUGUUUAGAUAUUACAUGACCUAAAUAUUCAACCUUCCUGCUAGCAAAAUUGCACUUCUUUUGGUUAACGACAAAACAAUGGUGUUGCAAAAUCUCUAAUACUUGGGACAAGUGUGCUAAAUGUUCCUUCCACCCCUUACUGUAGACUAGAAUAUCAUCAAAGAAAACUAAGACAAACUUGCAAAGAUAUGGCUUUAAAAUCUGAUUCAUGGUGGAUUGGAAGGUAGCUGGAGCGUUUGUUAAUCCAAAGGGCAUUACUAGAAACUCAUUGUGUCCUUCAUGAGUCCAGAAUGCCGUUUUUUGCACGUCUUCUUCCUUCACUCUGAUUUGGGGAUAACCGGAUUUCAAGUCAAGUUUGGAGAAAUACUUGGUUCCAUGCAACUCAUCUAAUAAUUCAUCCACCACCGGUAUCGGGUAGCGAUCUGGAACUGAAACUUUAUUCAACUCCCUAUAAUCAAUACACAUCCUCCAUGAGCUAUCUUUUUUUUACUAGAAUGACAGGGCUUGAAAAUGCGCUUGAACUGUUUCGAAUGAUACCUUGACUCAACAUACUCCUAACUUGUUUUUCGAUCUCCUCUUUGUGGUGAUGAGAGUAACGAUACGGUCUUACGCUUACUGGUCCAGCAUCCUUUUGUAACUCAAUGGCAUGAUUAAUUUCUCGUUUAGGUGGUAGCCCUGUAUUUUCUUCAAAAACUUCCUUGAAUUUGCUCAACAAUUCAUUAAGCUCCUGCUUUUACACCUCGGUCAGUUCUUGUACUUCAUUUGUUGGUACCACUUCUUCUUCUAACAAACUGUGCAAGGAGUCCAUCGGUGCAUGAGAUAUGUUAUUGGUUGACACCUCUUUGGUAGUGAAGAAUUGACCAUGUAAUUCCACCCUUUUUCCUUCCCAUAGAAAACUAAUGGUCAUCUUCUCCCAGUCAAAAGUUACUUUUCCAAACCGUUGCAACCAAGCCACCCACUUCCCCCCAAUAUCAUAUCUAGGUCACCCAAUUGAGGACAUAAGCAUCAACACUGUGGUAAAGUCAUUCAAACACACUCUCCAAUUUUCUACAUCUUCCUCUUGUCGAUACUCUGUGACCAUCACCCAACUCACUCCCAUGGAUCUUCCUUGCUCACAUUUACCCUAAAAGCAGUGGCCACAUGAGGUGAGACAAAAUUUGUGACUGGCACCGCUGUCAAUUAAAAUCAUAAUUGAGACCCCCUUCAAGCUUCCUUGGAGGCGCAAAGUGGUAGGAGGGGUAUUGUUCGACUUAAUGUUUGUUUCAGUAAUACCAAAUAACCCCAUAUAGCUUCAAUCUAGCACCUCUUCCUCAUCUUCCUUAACUUUGAUGGCUAUCACCUCACCUUCCUCAUUAAUAGUUUCAUCAUCUCCCAAAUCACCAACCUGAGUUGUUUCUCAACACACUAAUGAAGAGGAUGAUACUUUUUCCAUAUCGGAAACACAACCCUUAUGCUUUUCGCUCCAUCAUCUCAGAAUACGGCAAGUGCUUGAGGCCGCGGUUGCGUUCUCCUCCAUAUCUCCUUCCUUCGUCACCUCUAGAUCUGGUUGUGUUGGUGUUUGCAUUCAUAUUCCCAUUUGGGUUAGAUGGUGAAGAACCCGUUUUACUUUGCACCGAUCCAGCAGAAUAAUUAGUAGACCCAUUUCCCACUCGGGUCGAACCUGGGUUAUGUUGAGACCCAGAACCUAUUUUCCAACUAAGCCCAUAUCCUCCUGACCCACUUCCCUUCCAAUUACGGGGCCCACUAACACUUACUCUUGGCAACAACGACCCACUCAUCUCCGUCUUCACAUCAUGAGCGAUCUUCAUCGCCUAAACCCGUGAACGUGGAUUCAUUGUUCGAACCCUCAGACGAAUAUCUGUUUUGAGUCCUCCCAUGAAAUACCCCAAGUACUGCGCCUCCGGUAACCUCCCUACCUGCGACGAACAUAUUCAAAGGUGGUGAUGUAUUCGUCAACCGUUCCAGACUGUUGUAAAUCCUUCAUUUCCUCAACAGGGUUAUCGCUUUAUCUUCCCCCAUAUCUCUCAAUUAAAUCCUGUUUUAGCUUCAACCAUGUCAAAUCGUCCUCUAUCUCCCUCAACAAAUUGAACCAGUGGAUUGUUGCUCCUUCCAUGCUUAGUUUUGCCAAUCGGACCUUCACCUCCUCCAAUGUACCCUGAACUUCGAAAUACGUCUCAGCACGUGUGACCCAACCCACAGGAUCGUCACCAUCAAACGAUGGCAACUCCACCUUCUUCACCGCCAUCUUAUACUCUGUCACAAACUCCUCCAAAAACAUAGGUCGUUCCACUGACUGUCGUCGCUCCCACAGUUUCGUAAACUCACUCAUCAUGGUAUCACGAAACUCUUGCAUCAUCAUCUCACAAAAAUCUCUCAACUCAUGACGUACAGAAUUCUCCACCGUCGAGAGCCUUUCUUCUACUAUUCUCAUUUGAUCUGACAACUUAGGUGGCAUGUACUGGACAAGAAUUCAUUGGUACCUCUCAAAAAUCCGGUAGGUCGGACCAAUGAUAGAACUAGCAGAAAAAAUAUAUGAAACAAUUUAAAGGAAUGGUGAAAUGAAUUGUCUUUUCGUAUUAAUAGAAGGAAAGGUAAAUAGCUAAAGUGUAUAACCAGA
rnacentral:lncRNA from 1 species